GGUGACUGUGAUUACGAUUGUCUAUCAGAGAGAGAGACAUUCAUCAACAAACUGCACACAAAGGCGUCUUCAGCUGUGCGGCUUGCUUUUCAGCACGGGUCUUACUGCGUUCAGGACAGGGAGGCGGAAAGCGGCGAAAGACAAGAAAGCAGGCUACGAGGCCGAGUCCUGAUUUAUUGCAAGUUCUACGAAUGACUUUUUUCCAGCUCUCUGUUAGAGAAACAUCACAUCUUUACCCCUAUCUGCAAGGAACUCUACAAAGUGUACCUAUAACUUUAGCGGUCACAGUGCCCUUUUAGAAAAGAGGGAUGCACGUGAAAAUCACACUGAGGUACCUUUUUCGGUUUACUGAUUCAGAUUGCCAAAAUCACAAUGCUUGAUAACUCUGUGUUGAAAAGGAUAAGAGUAAAAAGAGGACACUCCUGUAGGAGUGUGAAUUUCUACAAUCUCUAUGAAGGGCAUUUAACAAAAUCUAUCCCACUUGUAAGUGCCUAUGCCCUUUGACUGAGCCGUCCCAUGCCCAGGUUUUUAUGAUAUUAUAUCAUACGUACAUGCUCA
rnacentral:lncRNA from 1 species